GACGAACGCUGGCGGCGUGCUUAACACAUGCAAGUCGAACGGAAAGGCCCUGCUUUUGUGGGGUGCUCGAGUGGCGAACGGGUGAGUAACACGUGAGUAACCUGCCCUUGACUUUGGGAUAACUUCAGGAAACUGGGGCUAAUACCGGAUAGGAGCUCCUGCUGCAUGGUGGGGGUUGGAAAUUUUCGGCGGUUGGGGAUGGACUCGCGGCUUAUCAGCUUGUUGGUGGGGUAGUGGCUUACCAAGGCUUUGACGGGUAGCCGGCCUGAGAGGGUGACCGGCCACAUUGGGACUGAGAUACGGCCCAGACUCCUACGGGAGGCAGCAGUGGGGAAGAUUGAACAAUGGGCGGAAGCCUGAUGCAGCAACGCCGCGUGCGGGAUGACGGCCUUCGGGUUGUAAACCGCUUUCGCCGGUGACGAAGCGUGAGUGACGGUAAUGGGUAAAGAAGCACCGGCGAACUACGUG
rnacentral:rRNA from 1 species